AUGCCCCCAAGCCCCGGCUGCCCCAGGAGGACUGCGGCGGGCAGCGGGCAGCCUGGUGCCCGGUACCUCCUGGCCGUGGGCGCCGUGGGACAGAAGGGAGCCACUGUCCUUGCCAAGAAUAGGGCGAUUGUCUGGGGCGCCCGAGACGUCGCCACCCGGGACGUGGCACGGGGGGCUGGUGCCGGGCACCGACAGUCCCUAGGGAAGCCCCCGGGUGCGGAGCAGCCUGCUCCCCCUCACCUAUGGACAUGGCGACCAGGCUGUGCGCCCCAGGGGGAUGCGUGCCGGCCAGGUCCUCGGGCAGCCCGGGGUGGAGGCAGCACCUGUGGGAGAGGCGUCGUGAGCACUGGGCAGUGCGCCGGUCCCCCCGGUAUCCCCCCCCCAGUUCCCUCGGUGCCUCCGGUGCCCCCUGAUGCCCCUGAUCCCCCCAGUGCCUCCCUGUCCCCCACUACUCCUGGUGGCCCUGAUCUCCCUCCCACCCGGCACCUCCUUGUCCCCUGGUGCCUCCCUGCUCCCCCCGGUGCCUCCAUCCUCCAUCAGUGCCCUCGUGCCCCUCGGUGGCGCCGGGAGGCCCCUGGUCUCUUUGGUCCCCACCCCCCGUCUCGCAGUACCCCCAGGUGCAUUCCCGUCUCCAGGUCCUCCCCGGUGUCCCCGGUCCCUGCCAGCGCCCCCGGUGCUCCUCGGUGCCCCCGGUGCCCCCCGGUCCCCCGGGGCCGCUCACCCGGCCAGCGCGCCGCCGCCGCUGAGCAGGCUGUGCGCCAGCGACGUCCAGAUGUUGCGCCACUUCCAGCGGUUGCGCCGCGCCGACGGCGGCGGCGGCACCAGCCGCUCCAGCCCGCGGUUCAGCAGGCGGAAGGCGGCGAAGGAGCCGGCGACGAGCAGCAGCCCCGGGCCGAGAGCCAUGGGCGCCGCCGGGGGGCACCGCGCCGCCGCCUCGCCGCGCUCCCGUGGGCACCGGCUCCGCCUCGUCCCCGAGCGCCUGCCCCGGCGGCACCGGGCACCGGCACCGCCCCGGCCACCGGCACCGCCCCGGCCACCGGGCACCGUCCCGGGCACCGGCACUGCCCCGAGCACUCCCGGUGCCCGAGCGAUGCCCGAGGGCCCCGGGGGGGGCCGAGGAGCGGCCGGGGAGGUGGCUCCGGGGAAGCUGCCGCUGCCGGGGACACUCUGUUCCGCAUCGCGAGUUGCUUAAACCUGCACGGGAUGCCGCUGCGCAUCAGCACGCCUCCGUCGCCCCUUCCUUCAUCCCUGGCAGAUGCUCCUUUCCCUCACCUUCAUCCUAACGAAGGUAGCUAA
rnacentral:lncRNA from 1 species